CCCAUCAGUGGCGAACGGGUGAGUAACACGUGAGUAACCUGCCCCAGACUCUGGAAUAAGCGCUGGAAACGGCGUCUAAUACCGGAUACGAAACGAAGCUGCAUGGCUAUCGUUUGGAAAGUUUUUCGGUUUGGGAUGGACUCGCGGCCUAUCAGCUUGUUGGUGAGGUAAUGGCUCACCAAGGCGACGACGGGUAGCCGGCCUGAGAGGGCGACCGGCCACACUGGGACUGAGACACGGCCCAGACUCCUACGGGAGGCAGCAGUGGGGAAUAUUGCACAAUGGGCGAAAGCCUGAUGCAGCGACGCCGCGUGAGGGAUGACGGCCUUCGGGUUGUAAACCUCUUUCAGCAGGGAAGAAGCGCAAGUGACGGUACCUGCAGAAGAAGCACCGGCUAACUACGUGCCAGCAGCCGCGGUAAUACGUAGGGUGCGAGCGUUGUCCGGAAUUAUUGGGCGUAAAGAGCUUGUAGGCGGUUUGUCGCGUCUGCCGUGAAAAUUCGAGGCUCAACCUCGAACUUGCGGUGGGUACGGGCAGACUAGAGUGUGGUAGGGGAGACUGGAAUUCCUGGUGUAGCGGUGAAAUGCGCAGAUAUCAGGAGGAACACCGAUGGCGAAGGCAGGUCUCUGGGCCACUACUGACGCUGAGAAGCGAAAGCAUGGGGAGCGAACAGGAUUAGAUACCCUGGUAGUCCAUGCCGUAAACGUUGGGAACUAGGUGUGGGUCUCAUUCCACGAGAUCCGUGCCGCAGCUAACGCAUUAAGUUCCCCGCCUGGGG
rnacentral:rRNA from 1 species